rnacentral:tRNA from 13 species
CGGGGUGUGGCUCAGCUUGGUAGAGCGCAUGGUUCGGGACCAUGAGGCCGGAGGUUCAAAUCCUCUCACUCCGACCA